rnacentral:rRNA from 1 species
UACGGGGGGGGCAAGCGUUGUUCGGAAUUACUGGGCGUAAAGGGCUCGUAGGUGGCCAACUAAGUCAGACGUGAAAUCCCUCGGCUUAACCGGGGAACUGCGUCUGAUACUGGAUGGCUUGAGUUCGGGAGAGGGAUGCGGAAUUCCAGGUGUAGCGGUGAAAUGCGUAGAUAUCUGGAGGAACACCGGUGGCGAAGGCGGCAUCCUGGACCGAUACUGACGCUGAGGAGCGAAAGCGUGGGGAGCAAACAGG